UCUGUGGUUAUUCUUGGGGGUCCCUUCUCUGGGCACAACACCUUCAGAGUCCCCCUUCUGCCCCAGAGCUCCAGGUUCCCUAUGUUAGAAGUCCACAGAGGCCGGUCGGUGCCACCACGUCUUUAUCUCAGACUUACCGCUGCACUCAGGCACUGCAGGCCUCCAUCAUGACUCAGCGAAUUAACUUCCUCCUGCUCCAGGUUCUUAUUCAACAGCUCAGAUAACAAAAGAUAAAACCCUUGGCUGACUCCCUUGGCCUAGGAGGAGAAAGCACUCAUGUGCUUUGCAUCUGAAACUCAGGGCAGGGUGGCCUGACCCAGGAGAAGGUGUUGAUAAGACCUCAGCAUCAAAACCUUCUAGAAGUCUUACUAAACCCAGAUUGCUGGAUCCUGUCUCAGAACUUCUGCUUCAGUUGGUCUUGGGGGAUCUGAGAAUCUGCACUUCUAACAAGUUCCCAAGUGCUGCUUGAACAGACUCACAUUCUGUGGAUCAUUAUUCUAUUAUUUGAAGCUCUUAGUGGAUCAUUAUUUACAUAUUUGGGCAUUUCUGUGAUUCACCAAAUAUUGGUGGGGUUUGGGAUAGAUUGGGAAUUAUCAUUAACUUCUCUGGUUCAUUAAAAUGUUUUUAUUUAUUCUUUGACAAUUUCA